rnacentral:rRNA from 1 species
AACAAACGCUGGCGGCGUGCCUAACACAUGCAAGUCGUACGAGAAAGGGUCCUUCGGGGCCUGAGUAAAGUGGCGCACGGGUGAGUAACGCGUGGAUAAUCUGCCCUUCAGUUGGGAAUAACUCAUCGAAAGGUGGGCUAAUACCGAAUAAUGCUGUGAGACCUCGGUUGAUCAGCCAAAGAGAGCCUCUGCUUGCAAGCCCUCGCUGAAGGAUGAGUCCGCGUACCAUUAGCUAGUUGGUGGGGUAAUGGCCUACCAAGGCGACGAUGGUUAACCGCUCUGAGUGAAUGAUCAGCCACACUGGAACUGAGACACGGUCCAGACGCCUACGGGAGGCAGCAGUGAGGAAUCUCGAGCAAUGAGGGCAACCCUGACGCGGCAACGCCGCGUGAGUGAGGAAGGUCUUCCGAUCGUAAAGCUCUGUCGGAUGGAAAGAACCGCAUAGGGGUAAACAGCCCCUGUGUCUGACGGUACCAUCAAAGGAAGCACCGGCUAACACCGUGCCAGCCGCCGCGGUAAUAC